rnacentral:sRNA from 1 species
AAUAUAUCCCUCGCAAAAUUUUCUUCUUCCUCUUGUUUUUCUUCUUCUCUAGUAGAACUGGCAGAAACUCUUUCGAU